rnacentral:rRNA from 1 species
UACAGAGGUCUCAAGCGUUGUUCGGAUUCAUUGGGCGUAAAGGGUGCGUAGGUGGCGCCGUAAGUCAGGUGUGAAAUUUCGGAGCUUAACUCCGAAACUGCAUUUGAUACUGCGGUGCUUGAGGACUGGAGAGGAUACUGGAAUUUACGGUGUAGCAGUGAAAUGCGUAGAUAUCGUGAGGAACACCAGAGGCGAAGGCGACUUCCUGGACAAUUGCUGACGCUCAGGCACGAAAGCGUGGGGAGCCAAAGGG